rnacentral:rRNA from 1 species
AACGAACGCUGGCGGCAGGCCUAACACAUGCAAGUCGAGCGAGACCUUCGGGUCUAGCGGCGGACGGGUGAGUAACGCGUGGGAACGUGCCUUUUGCUUCGGAAUAGCGCCGGGAAACUGGGAGCAAUACCGAAUGUGCUCUACGGAGGAAAGAUUUAUCGGCAAAAGAUCGGCCCGCGUUGGAGUAGGUUGUUGGUGGGGUAAGGGCCUGCCAAGCCGACGAUCCAAAGCUGGUUUGAGAGGAUGAUCAGCCACACUGGGACUGAGACACGGCCCAGACGCCUACGGGGGGCAGCAGUGGGGAAUCGUAGACAAUGGGGGAAGCCCUGAUCUAGCCAUGCCGCGUGAGCGAUGAAGGCCUUAGGGUUGUAAAGCUCUUUCACCGGGGAAGAUAAUGACGGUACCCGGAGAAGAAGCCCCGGCUAACUCCGUGCCAGCAGCCGCCGUAAGAC